rnacentral:rRNA from 1 species
CUGUCGCUAUGGGAUGGCCCCGCGGUGCAUUAGUCUAGUUGGUUAAGGUAAAGGACGUUACCAAGGCGAUGAUGCAUAGCCGAGUUGAGAGACUGAUCGGCCACAUUGGGACUGAGACACGGCCCAAACUCCUACGGGAGGGCAGCAGUAGGGAAUCUUCCACAAUGGACGCAAGUCUGAUGGAGCAACGCCGCGUGAGUGAAGAAGGUUUUCGGAUCGUAAAGCUCUGUUGUUGGUGAAGAAGGAUAGAGGUAGUAACUGGCCUUUAUUUGACGGUAAUCAACCAGAAAGUCACGGCUAACUACGUGCCAGCAGCCGCGGUAAAU